rnacentral:lncRNA from 1 species
UUCCACCAGUGAGGUGACAGCACGAUGCGACGGUACGGUACGGCUGAAGGGGACGAGGCAAUAGGUCGACGGCACGAAGCGACAGCACGACGAGACAGUAAGAUGGGACAGUACGACGCGACGGCAAGACAGCAGGGCACGAUGCGGCGGCAGGACGCGUAAUGCAUUACACACAUCAUAAAUGUAAUCAGUUGCCUGUGGCAAGUCAAUGGUGUACCAUCUUUGUAUGUAUCACAUAGUUGUUCACUAUAUCUCAUGGACCUAUAGCAACUGUUACUAUUCAGCUAUUGUUGCAGCAGUGCCACGAUUUCACGGCCGUCUCGUGAGGGCGCGCUUCACGGAAUUCGGACCAGGGUUUCAAAUCAGCAAUCAUCAUACAUCCGAGGGGGUUCAGAAGUAUUUAGUUGGCUCACAUAUAUUCAAGGGAGGGACAGCAACUACAUACCGGGAGGGAUUUUUCUUGAAUUUCUUCAUAAAUGCAUGUCCAAGUCAUCAAGUCAGUGUACCAAGUUCUUGCUGAGCAUGCAGUAAACCAGAUUGCCAACUAAACUUGAAAAAUAGUCUACAGCUAUACAAUGCAUUCCUUUAAUUGUACUGUGUACAGUCAAGUGUGACUAGAGUAUAAGAUGCCCUAGAAAGGAAUGGGCAGUGUGAUUCUUUCUGUCGUCUCUGCUCACUGCAUCAGCCUGUAUUAUUUGGGCUGCUAUGUGGUCUCAACUGGGGUGUGGCCCAAGUACAUGUCGUCAAUGGAAAACUGGUGCAGUACUGGUGGAAUGACCAACCCUCGGUGGAUGCCUGAUUUAAGGUAUAAACAUUACUCGUGUGUAUAAAUGUAUCAAUUAUUGGAAGACAGUUCAUGUAAAUGUAAUUGCUGAAAUGGCAACUGCAUUAUUGGAAAUGAUACAACAUGACUUGUUUUACUCUUUUAUAGGUUACACCAUGACUCCCUCAAAUUUAGGGUUUCAUCUCCUGGGCAGUUCUAGUUUUGGGGUUUUAUUAUUCAGUCUCUAGUUUAAUUUGUUCUGGUCUUAAGUUUUAAACCUUGGAUACUUAAUUUUAUAUUGAUGUAAAGUGAGACUUGUCUUUAUUGUUGUAAUGGAAUUGUCUCUCGAGUUUGAUCAACACAUCAAUAAAGAUGGUCCAAUUUAGUGGGAUUCACAAGUGGUUCGUUUUAUUUUAACGUUUUGCCUGGUGGCCAGAGUCUUCUUCCCUAUUCAAGUAUUAAGUUGUGCUCCCUGCUUGCUGCUCCAGACCUUCAAAGUCCUCGACUAGCAUAAGCUAUGACAUGUUCCUUGCCAUCUUGUAUUUGGGAAAGAUAAUCGAGGCCUUUGCAAGUUAUUACUGUACAUAAGAGAUAAUACGAAGAACCAUGAAAUUAAAUUAAGAGAACUUGAAUACAUGGGAAAUAGAGGCUUGCGAUUGAGCAAACUUGUGAUUAUAAACUUUUUAUCAGGUUGUUCAAAAUGCCCUCUACUUAUCUGCGUAUAUUUUCAUAAAUAUUCUUGUAUUUUUACAGCAAUCCUUGAGUUCCUCACACCUAAAGUGUAGCAGUGCUCUACGUACUGCCAGCUAGACGCUGUUGAUAGGUCUGAUAUACUAGUACACUGUCUAUUACUUUCCAUAAGCCACAAGAAUCAUAAAGGGAACUGUCUUAACACGGUUUCUAGGAUUUUAUAAAUUACACAGGUAUCUUAUUAUAAUACUUUCUAUUGCCAAUGAUGGGAAACUAGAAGUACAAGGAAUUGGGACUUAAAAUUGCAUAUGUUGUAAACAGGACUUGUAUUAACAGCGCUUUCUUUAUGUGCUGGACUGUAUGGAAAUAAGUGCAACUGUGGAUUAAUCUGAAAUUAGAGUACACAUUUAAUAAGAUAUGUUAUAUUGUCAUGAACAUGCUAGAUGCAUGAAACAAGCAAGCUUGUAUCUUGGAAGAUACAGAUAUUUUAGACUGCACUUGCUUGUAAAAUUAACUUAAAUUAACAAAUCAAAAUGUGAAAAAAAUUGUGUGUUUAAUAAUUAGUUUUCUUUCUUAUAUCUAUUACAGGUCGAGAUCAUUGACUGUGGUUUUUUUUUUAUUUGUAUAAAUAUAAAUUCUCUCACACUUUGAGGCAUUGUACAAGUUGUAAAUAAAAUAUUGAAUGUAGUAUUCGUACCACCACA